AACGCACCUUGCGCCCUUUGGUAUUCCGAAGGGCAUGCUUGUUUGAGUGUCAUUAAAUUCUCAACCUUGAAUAGCUUGCUAUUGAAGGCUUGGAUGUGAGGGCUUUGCUGGCUUCCUUCAGUGGCGGUCUGCUCCCUUUAAAUGCAUUAGUGAGAUCCUUUGUGAAUCGUUCACUUGGUGUGAUAAUUAUCUACGCCGCUUGAAUGUGAAGCAAAACCUAUGGGAACUCGCUUAUAACCGUCCUUCGGGACAAUCUAUUGACCAUUUGACCUCAAAUCAAGUAGGACUACCCGCUGAACUUAA
rnacentral:misc_RNA from 1 species